rnacentral:rRNA from 4 species
ACGACUCUCGGCAACGGAUAUCUCGGCUCUCGCAUCGAUGAAGAACGUAGCGAAAUGCGAUACCUGGUGUGAAUUGCAGAAUCCCGCGAACCAUCGAGUCUUUGAACGCAAGUUGCGCCCGAGGCCACUCGGCCGAGGGCACGCCUGCCUGGGCGUCA